UACGUAGGGUGCGAGCGUUAAUCGGAAUUACUGGGCGUAAAGCGUGCGCAGGCGGUGAUGUAAGACAGUUGUGAAAUCCCCGGGCUCAACCUGGGAACUGCAUCUGUGACUGCAUCGCUGGAGUACGGUAGAGGGGGAUGGAAUUCCGCGUGUAGCAGUGAAAUGCGUAGAUAUGCGGAGGAACACCGAUGGCGAAGGCAGCCCCCUGGGUCAAGACUGACGCUCAUGCACGAAAGCGUGGGGAGCAAACAGG
rnacentral:rRNA from 1 species